rnacentral:lncRNA from 1 species
UGAAGGGAUGGAAAUUAUUUUAAAUUGAAAACUCCUGAACAGUCAGCAGCCGCAGAAAGAAACUACCUCCACUUAAGCAGCUGCCCCAGGAAGCAGAGCUGCUUUGACCCCUCUGGGGGCAUUUCCUGCUUGGAGGAAGACUGAGAUCAGCUGCCCAUUAGCGUCAAGACCGAAAGGACCUUCCACACUCCCCGUGAAGCCCUGAGCCCCUGUUUUUAUUGUGUUUGCUGGUAUAUAAACCCUUUCCUCAUUACUGUGUCCUCACAUGUGUGUGCAUGAGCACAGCCGAUGGACCUGCUCUCCCUCCUGUCCACCUGUCUGCUGUCCGUUCACUUGCAGACCCCAGAACUGCUGCUGUCAGCCUGCUCACCUGCACCAUGGUUCCCACCAGCACUCCUGUUACAAGUGACAGAUGAAAACUCACGCGGAAGACGACCUCAGAGCCAACAUUCCUGGAAGGAGGCUGCCCUGGGGUCCACCCCAGCCGACCGAUGGGGACAGGUUUGGAGAAAGCAGAGCCAAGACAGGCACUGAUGGAAACACGUGGACUUGUCCCCUGAUGAGCACAUGGGACAAUCAUCCAAGUAGAAUGAAACCAGCUGGGAGAAGCCACCACACAUCCCCUUCAGAAACAGCAACUCUCCCAUGCCUGACUGACUUC